ACGGAAGGCAGCAGUGAGGAAUAUUGGUCAAUGGACGGAAGUCUGAACCAGCCAUGCCGCGUGCAGGAAUAAGGCCCUAUGGGUCGUAAACUGCUUUUGUGGUGGAGCAAUAAGGCGUACGUGUACGUCGAUGAGAGUACAUCACGAAUAAGCAUCGGCUAACUCCGUGCCAGCAGCCGCGGUAAUACGGAGGAUGCAAGCGUUAUCCGGAUUUAUUGGGUUUAAAGGGUGCGUAGGCUGUGCGACAAGUCAGGGGUGAAAGCCCGCCGCCCAACGGUGGAACUGCCUUUGAUACUGUCGCGCUGGAAUACGGAUGCCGUGGGAGGAAUGAGUAGUGUAGCGGUGAAAUGCAUAGAUAUUACUCAGAACACCGAUUGCGAAGGCAUCUCACGAAUCCGUCAUUGACGCUGAGGCACGAAAGCGUGGGGAUCGAACAGGAUUAGAUACCCUGGUA
rnacentral:rRNA from 1 species